UUUACCUGAAGCAGUCUUCUCUCACCGGUGGAACGUCCCUAGGAGGUCAUAUACCAAUUAAGCACCGCCAUUUUGCCUCUUAAUGCGCAUGCGUGAGCCCACUCGCCCAACUCCUGACAUCUUACUGGGAAGCUGCUAAUCGCCAUUUUAAGAUGAAGACCCCUAGACUUCAGAGAAGAUGACAUCUAAGUGUCAGAGCUGGGAUUCAAAACCAGAUCUGUCCAGCUCCAAAGACUGAGCUCAUAACCCUUAACACUAAUACCCUCUCUGCCCCAGAGCUGUGAUUCUAGGCUAGUCUGAUUAAAGCCCCAGAAUUUCACAACCUUUUAAGAAUACAGUCACUAAAAUAGAGAUCAUUUCAACCUGCCUCUGAAUCCUAGAAAAUAAUGGGCCCUGAUAUUAACAAGGCAGCUUCCCUCCUAAGUGCCAAGGACCCUUGAAAAGGGUAUCUUAAUCAUGGGUGUCAUAUUUUAUGAUUGUGUCUGUUUGUAUUUAGUACACUUGUUAUCCUUGAUGUUUUCGCCCUGAGGAUAUCAACUGAACAAAAUUGCAUACAUCUUUGUGGAUUACCCUUUCUGCAUCCAUAAGUUAUCUGCCCUUUUAAAAUAAUUUGCACUAAAACACCGAGUGUUUUUUCUAAUGGGAAUAGACAGCUAGUGUUUUUUAAUGCAAAUGACUUCUCCCCACAUUCUCCCCAGCCCAAAGCUAAAUCUGCAGCAGCAGCGGAGGGGACUCAGUGCUUCUAGAAACAGUUUAGGCAUAGCAGUUGGGAGGCAAUGUGACUUAAAGCCCCCUGCUCCAUGUUAGGGAAAGCCACAUGAGAAUUCAGAAAGAGAAUUCCAUAGGAUGAACAGAGAUGUUUUCAGGGCAUUCAUUAUCAUACUCGCCACUCUUGUUUUUAAGAAACAAGCUUCUGCUCUGGUGGUUUUGUUUGUAUGUAAAGAUUAAACUGUUGAAUAAAAUCACAAGCACCAU